rnacentral:rRNA from 1 species
GAUGAACGCUGGCGGCGUGCCUAAUACAUGCAAGUCGAGCGAACAGACGAGGAGCUUGCUCCUCUGACGUUAGCGGCGGACGGGUGAGUAACACGUGGAUAACCUACCUAUAAGACUGGGAUAACUUCGGGAAACCGGAGCUAAUACCGGAUAAUAUAUUGAACCGCAUGGUUCAAUAGUGAAAGACGGUUUUGCUGUCACUUAUAGAUGGAUCCGCGCCGCAUUAGCUAGUUGGUAAGGUAACGGCUUACCAAGGCAACGAUGCGUAGCCGACCUGAGAGGGUGAUCGGCCGCACUGGAACUGAGACACGGUCCAGACUCCUACGGGAGGCAGCAGUAGGGAAUCUUCCGCAAUGGGCGAAAGCCUGACGGAGCAACGCCGCGUGAGUGAUGAAGGUCUUCGGAUCGUAAAACUCUGUUAUUAGGGAAGAACAAAUGUGGAAGUAACUAUGCACGUCUUGACGGUACCUAAUCAGAAAGCCACGGCUAACUACGUG